rnacentral:rRNA from 1 species
UACGGAGGGUGCAAGCGUUGCUCGGAAUUAUUGGGCGUAAAGGGUAGGUAGGUGGUCUUAUUUGUCUGGGGUGAAAUCCUUGAGCUUAACUCAAGAAGUGCCCCAGAAACGGUGAGACUAGAGUCCUGGAGAGGGUCGUGGAAUUCCCGGUGUAGCGGUGAAAUGCGUAGAGAUCGGGAGGAACACCAGAGGCGAAGGCGGCGACCUGGACAGGAACUGACACUCAACUACGAAAGCGUGGGGAGCAAACAGG